rnacentral:rRNA from 1 species
CAGCCGCCACGGUAAUACGUAGGGUGCAAGCGUUAAUCGGAAUUACUGGGCGUAAAGCGUGCGCAGGCGGUUCGGAAAGAAAGAUGUGAAAUCCCAGGGCUCAACCUUGGAACUGCAUUUUUAACUACCGGACUAGAGUAUGUCAGAGGGAGGUGGAAUUCCACGUGUAGCAGUGAAAUGCGUAGAUAUGUGGAGGAACACCGAUGGCGAAGGCAGCCUCCUGGGAUAAUACUGACGCUCAUGCACGAAAGCGUGGGGAGCAAACAGGAUUAGAUACCCCCGUAGUCCCUGUCUCUUAUAC